rnacentral:rRNA from 1 species
ACUAGGAAUUUUGCGCAAUGGGGGCAACCCUGACGCAGCGACACAGCGUGGAGGAGGAAGGUCUUCGGAUUGUAAACUCCUUUUAUAUGGGAAGAAUAGAUGACUGUACCAUAUGAAUAAGCACCUGCUAACUACGUGCCAGAAGCAUCGGUGAUGCGUAGGGUGCGAACGUUAUCCGGAUUUAUUGGGCGUAAAGAGAUGCGUAGGCGUUUCAGUUAGUCUUUCGUUAAAAGUCACGGCUUAACCGUGAAGAUGCGUUGGAUACUGCUGAAAUUGAGACAUGAAGGGGUGAACGGAACUCCAAGUGGAGCGGUGAAAUGCGUUGAUAUUUGGAAGAACAUCAGAGGCGAAGGCGGUUCACUGGUCAUUGUCUGACGCUAAGGCUCGAAAGCGUGGGUAGCAAAACGGAUUAGAUACCCCAGUAGUCC